rnacentral:rRNA from 1 species
AGAGCGAACGCUGGCGGCAGGCCUAAUACAUGCAAGUCGAACGGAUCCUUCGGGAUUAGUGGCGGACGGGUGAGUAACACGUGGGAACGUGCCCUUUGGUUCGGAACAACUCAGGGAAACUUGAGCUAAUACCGGAUGUGCCCCCUCCUUUGACCGGGAGGGUGGGAAAGAUUUAUCGCCAUUGGAGCGGCCCGCGUCUGAUUAGCUAGUUGGUGAGGUAAAGGCCCACCAAGGCUACGAUCAGUAGCUGGUCUGAGAGGAUGAUCAGCCACACUGGGACUGAGACACGGCCCAGACUCCUACGGGAGGCAGCAGUAGGGAAUCUUGCGCAAUGGGCGAAAGCCUGACGCAGCCAUGCCGCGUGAAUGAUGAAGGUCUUAGGAUUGUAAAAUUCUUUCAGCGGGACGAUAAUGACGGUACCGCAGAAGAAGCCCCGGCUAACUUCGUGCCAGCAGCCGC